GCCCACAAAAAUUACCAAUAAAACCAGUCCAAUAAUACCCAUAUACCAACAAAGUACAGAAAUGGAAAUAUAUUAAAUUAAAGUAAUCCUUAAAAAUUGUACCUCGUGCAUAAUGGUUUUACAAGCAAAAAAUCAAAGAAAUAAUUCCCGAAUUCUUAAAGAGCUGCCCCCUCAUUGGCACAGGCCCCACCACCAGCUGUGGCAAAAGCUCUGAAAAAUGGGGGGGCAGAGGCCACAUACCAAACGCGUAAGAAAAUUGCUGGUUUCUAACAAAAAUUAUACAUUAAGCCAUAGAAGUACUUCUACUGCUACAUCACAGAGGAUAAGCCCUGUGAUAACACUCAAUUAAAAGCGUCCUGACACACACUAGGCCUAAAAUCAGCCACGUAUAACACGUUAUAGUCAAUCCCAAACUAAUUAUUUUUUUCUCAAUGUAGAGCUAGUUAGAAAUUAUUACCAAAUUCCCCACAUCAAAAUUUUUAUGUAAAAAUAAGUACUUCUACUUAGGCCCUAUAUGUUAUAUCUAUUACUAACAAAGGAACUCGGCAAACCCCGUUUCGACUGUUUAUCAAAAACAUUACCUUAAGACAAAAAUAAUUUAAGGCAAGCCCUGCCCAGUGAAAUCUUCAACGGCCGCGGUAUCCUAACCGUGCAAAGGUAGCAUAAUAACUUGCCUAUUAAUUAUAGGAUAGAAUGAAAGGGUAAACGAAAUAGGAGCUGUCUCUAUUAGCCCAAUGAAAAUUAUUUUUUAACUGAAGAAAGUUAAAUUCAACUGAAGGACAAGAAGACCCUAUAGAGCUUAAUUUAACUUACUAAAUAAGUAAAAAUUAAAUUCGGUUGGGGCGACCGAUGCUCUACAAAUCAUCACCCACAAAAAGAAAUAUACAUCUCAAAAAAGACCCUGACCCAGAUCAAAAAAACAAGCUACCUUAGGGAUAACAGGCUAAUCUCAUUAAUGAGUCCCCAUCUAUAAUGUUGGUUGGCACCUCGAUGUUGGCUUAGGGAAUCAAAAGGGCGCAGAAGCUUUUUAAGACGGUUUGUUCAACCAUUAAACCCCUACAUGAGCUGAGUUCAGACCGGCGUAAGCCAGGUUAGUUUCUAUCCUCAGUAACCUAAAAUUUAGCUACAGUACGAAAGGACCAAGCUAAAAGAAUUUUUACACAAAAGAAUAACCAUAAACAAAAUUAAACAAUGACCAAACUACAAACUAUA
rnacentral:rRNA from 1 species